CGGCGGACGGGUGAGUAACGCGUGGGUAACCUGCCUCAUACAGGGGGAUAACAGUUGGAAACGGCUGCUAAUACCGCACAAGCGCACAGUACCGCAUGGUACGGUGUGAAAAACUCCGGUGGUAUGAGAUGGACCCGCGUCUGAUUAGGUAGUUGGUGGGGUAACGGCCUACCAAGCCGACGAUCAGUAGCCGACUUGAGAGGGUGACCGGCCACAUUGGGACUGAGACACGGCCCAA
rnacentral:rRNA from 1 species